GCCCAGGUUGGGGGCUGCACCUGUUCAGGAGUAGGCUGGAAACUUGGGCCUGCCCUCAGGCGGCGCUCACUCAAGCCCAGCGUCAGUGCUGCGCAGCCCUGAGGGACGGGCGCGCCAGCCCCAGGGAACCGAGUUUUCUCCUGCGAGCCAGGACACGUUUGCGCCAGAAAGCCGAUUCGCCGAAACCCUCAGCACCGGGAAGCCACUGGAACGAUGGGAUUUGGUGGCAGAGGCCAGAGCAAAGGGCACUUCUGACAGCUUUGGGGACACCAAGAAACAGGCAUAAAACUCUGCAAACCCUGAGUUUACUGUCUUUCUCACCAUUUCCAAGGGCCAUGGGUACCUCUGUGAAAAAGGAAGAGAGAUCCACAUCACCCAUAAUGCCUGAACUGAAAAGUAGGAAUACAAGCAUUUAUUUUUAUAGAGGUGAGCCAAAGAACCUAGAAGGAAGACGGAAAAAUUUUCUUCCCCUGCACAUGGCACUUGAAGCCCUAAGUCACGUGGCUCCUGCUUGCCUUCAGUGUCCUCUCCUGACCUUCUCUGGUAUGGUAAUAGUUUAUUUCUAGACCAAGGGUCAGCCAACUUUUUCUAUAAAGGGCCAAAUAGUAAACAUUUUAGAUUCUGCAGCCUGUGGAGUCUUUGUUUCAACUAUUCAACUCUCUGAAAGCAGCCGCGAAUAAUAUGUAAAUAAACAAGUAUGGCUGUAUUUGUUCCAAUUAAAUGCUCUUUAAUGAACAUUAGAAUCUUAUAUUUUUCAUGUGUCAUGACAUUAUUUUUGUAAAUUUAUUCCCAACCAUUUAAAAAUGUAAAAAGCAUUCUACAGAAUGGUUGCAGAGAAACAGGCC